UAUUUAUUAGAUAAAAAACCAACGCCCUUCGGGGCUCCUUGGUGAAUCAUAAUAACUUAACGAAUCGCAUGGCCUUGCGCCGGCGAUGGUUCAUUCAAAUUUCUGCCCUAUCAACUUUCGAUGGUAGGAUAGUGGCCUACCAUGGUGGCAACGGGUAACGGGGAAUUAGGGUUCGAUUCCGGAGAGGGAGCCUGAGAAACGGCUACCACAUCCAAGGAAGGCAGCAGGCGCGCAAAUUACCCAAUCCCGAUACGGGGAGGUAGUGACAAUAAAUACUGAUACGGGGCUCUUUUGGGUCUCGUAAUUGGAAUGAGAACAAUUUAAAUCCCUUAACGAGGAACAAUUGGAGGGCAAGUCUGGUGCCAGCAGCCGCGGUAAUUCCAGCUCCAAUAGCGUAUAUUAAAGUUGUUGCAGUUAAAAAGCUCGUAGUUGAACCUUGGGUCUGGCUGGCCGGUCCGCCUCACCGCGAGUACUGGUCCGGCUGGACCUUUCCUUCUGGGGAACCUCAUGGCCUUCACUGGCUGUGGGGGGAACUAGGACUUUUACUGUGAAAAAAUUAGAGUGUUCAAAGCAGGC
rnacentral:rRNA from 1 species